rnacentral:lncRNA from 1 species
AUAAAUAAAUAAAAAUCAUUUUAGGCAUGGUUCAACCCUUAUACAUAAAGAGCUAGUGUCUUACCAAUCUCCAACCAAGAAACACCUUCCAACUUAAAUAAGGAACAAUCAAAUCAAACUUAAGAAAACAUUAAACAACCAGUUUCAUACAAUCCACUAGGUUCAAAAUCCUAAACACAUAAAAGAAUUACAACAGGAAUUUGAAAAAAAAUCCAA